AGCAUAUCAAUAAGCGGAGGAAAAGAAACCAACAGGGAUUGCCUCAGUAACGGCGAGUGAAGCGGCAACAGCUCAAAUUUGAAAGCUGCCAACAGGCCGCGUUGUAAUUUGUAGAAGCUGCUUUGGGUGUCGGCCCGGUCUAAGUUCCUUGGAACAGGACGUCAUAGAGGGUGAGAAUCCCGUAUGUGAUCGGUGCCGGUGCCCGUGUAAAGCGCUUUCGACGAGUCGAGUUGUUUGGGAAUGCAGCUCAAAAUGGGUGGUAAAUUUCAUCUAAAGCUAAAUAUUGGCCAGAGACCGAUAGCGCACAAGUAGAGUGAUCGAAAGAUGAAAAGCACUUUGGAAAGAGAGUUAAACAGUACGUGAAAUUGUUGAAAGGGAAGCGCUUGCAACCAGACUUGCGGGCGGUCGAUCAUCCGAGGUUCUCCCCGGUGCACUCGAUCGUUCUCAGGCCAGCAUCGGUUUCCGGGGUGGGAUAAAGGCGGUGGAAAUGUGGCUCUUCGGAGUGUUAUAGCCCACCGUGCAAUGCCGCCACUGGGGACCGAGGACCGCGCUUCGGCUAGGAUGCUGGCGUAAUGGUUGUAAGCGACCCGUCUUGAAACACGGACCAAGGAGUCUAACAUCUAUGCGAGUGUUUGGGUGUCAAACCCAUACGCGGAAUGAAAGUGAACGGAGGUAAGAGCCCUUUAGGGUGCAUUAUCGACCGAUCCUGAUGUCUUCGGAUGGAUUUGAGUAAGAGCAUAGCUGUUGGGACCCGAAAGAUGGUGAACUAUGCGUGAAUAGGGUGAAGCCAGAGGAAACUCUGGUGGAGGCUCGCAGCGGUUCUGACGUGCAAAUCGAUCGUCAAAUUUGCGUAUAGGGGCGAAAGACUAA
rnacentral:rRNA from 1 species